AAAACAAUUUUCAUGGGGCUUAGAGUUGAAAAACUUGGCUUUAUGGAUCUAGAAUAAACUGUUUUGACUGAAAUAAUUUUGUGCCUUGGCUUGUAAAUCACCUUUUUCCUCCCUUGUGGUCUGAAACAGAUAUAAGAAAGAUUGGAGAACUGUGUGCCUGGCAAUUGCCUUGCUGAAAGGAAGCCCUCAGAAAAAGUUGUUUGAUGGUGAGAGCUGGCCAAGCCAGAAAGACAAACCAAGCGACUUUGAGUGGGGGCUUUGUGUCACAAGGCAUCAGUAGACCUGGAGACUGAGUUCAGGCAAUCAAUCAAUCAAUCAAUCAAUCAGGCCUACAGAAUGAAACUCCAACUAAAAACUGUGGACACCAAAGCUCAGCUGAUUUCCUGGUUGGCAAUACUCCAUGCAUAUUGUCACACAUCAAUGCCAGCUGGUCAGUGGUAGAGGACAAUAAAAGUUUUCACACUUGGAACCUUCUCA